rnacentral:rRNA from 1 species
UACGUAGGGUGCAAGCGUUGUCCGGAAUUAUUGGGCGUAAAGAGCUCGUAGGCGGUUUGUUGCGUCGGCUGUGAAAACCUGAGGCUCAACCUCAGGCCUGCAGUCGAUACGAGCAGACUAGAGUGUUGCAGGGGAGACUGGAAUUCCUGGCGUAGCGGUGAAAUGCGCAGAUACACGAGGGAAGAACCAGCCGAAGUGCGAAGGGCAUGUC